rnacentral:lncRNA from 1 species
UCCUCUUCACCAGGAGCAUGAGCUGUGCAGUGAUGCUGCUGUUGGUGGGGGCCUUAGUCCUGCUUGGGCCGUAAGCUGAGGUGGCACUUCUGGAGUUGGUGCUCCAAGCAAGGGUGGCUUCUUCCAGAAGCAUGCAGAAUGGAAAUGGACCAUGAAAGGUAUCAUGUGCUGGUGAAGGCAGCUGGGGCAGCACUAACAGAGAGUAGUCAAAAUUCUACACAGCAAAACCUAAAUACAGAUGCCAAAGCAUUUUGAGAGCAACUGGAAAUACAAUACAAGAUUUAUGAUGCCCAUUCCUGGAGGCACAUUUUCAAAAGCAAAUGAUAAAGAUUCCAGACCUGAUCCAGUGAAGAUGUAGGUGAGUACAUCACUGAUGUGCAAGCUCAAAACCAGGGCUUAAUAGGUCCUUUCUAAAUGCUUGCCUGAUGUUUAUACCACCUAAAACUUGCUACUUGG